rnacentral:rRNA from 1 species
GACGAACGCUGGCGGCGUGCUUAACACAUGCAAGUCGAACGGAAAGGCCCUGCUUUUUUUGGGUGCUCGAGUGGCGAACGGGUGAGUAACACGUGAGUAACCUGCCCUUGACUUUGGGAUAACUUCAGGAAGCUGGGGCUAAUACCCGAUAGGAGCUCCUGCUGCCUUGUGGGGGUUGUAAAGUUUCGGCGGUUGGGGAUUGACUCGCGGCUUAUCAGCUUGUUGGUGGGGUAGUGGCUUACCAAGGCUUUGACGGGUAGACGGCCUGAGAGGGUGACCGGCCACAUUGGGAAUGAGAUAAGGCGCAGAAGCCGAAGGGAAGAAGAAGUGGGGAAUAUUGAACAAAGGGAGGAAGGCUGAGGGAGCAAAGAAGGGUGCGGGAUGACGGAAUUGGGGUUGUAAACGGAUAAAGCAUGUGACGAAGCGUGAGUGAAGGUAAUAGGUAAAGAAGCACCGGCUAACUACGUG